UACGGAAGGCAGCAGGGGGAAUAUUGCACAAUGGGCGAAAGCCUGAUGCAGCUAUGCCGCGUGUAUGAAGAAGGCCUUAGGGUUGUAAAGUACUUUCAUCGGGGAGGAAAAACAAAACUAAUAAUUUUAUUUCUUGACGUUACCCGAAAAAGAAGCACCGGCUAACUCCGUGCCAGCAGCCGCGGUAAUACGGAGGGUGCUAGCGUUAAUCAGAAUUACUGGGCGUAAAGAGCACGUAGGUGGUUUUUUUAAGUCAGAUGUGAAAUCCCUGGGCUUAACCUAGGAACUGCAUUUUGAAACUGAAAUACUAGAGUAUCGUAGAGGGAGGUAGAAUUCUAGGUGUAGCGGUGAAAUGCGUAGAUAUCUGGAGGAAUACCUGUGGCGAAAGCGGCCUCCUAAACGAAUACUGACACUGAGGGUGCGGAAAGCGUGGGGAGGCAAACAGGGAUUAGAUACC
rnacentral:rRNA from 1 species